UCGGAGGAAAAGAAACCAACAGGGAUUGCCUUAGUAGCGGCGAGUGAAGCGGCAAAAGCUCAAAUUUGAAAUCUGGCUCUUUCAGAGUCCGAGUUGUAAUUUGAAGAAGGUAUCUUUGGGUCUGGCUCUUGUCUAUGUUUCUUGGAACAGAACGUCACAGAGGGUGAGAAUCCCGUGCGAUGAGAUGAUCCAGGCCUAUGUAAAGUUCCUUCGAAGAGUCGAGUUGUUUGGGAAUGCAGCUCUAAGUGGGUGGUAAAUUCCAUCUAAAGCUAAAUAUUGGCGAGAGACCGAUAGCGAACAAGUACAGUGAUGGAAAGAUGAAAAGAACUUUGAAAAGAGAGUGAAAAAGUACGUGAAAUUGUUGAAAGGGAAGGGCUUGAGAUCAGACUUGGUAUUUUGUAUGUUACUUCUUCGGGGGUGGCCUCUACAGUUUAUCGGGCCAGCAUCAGUUUGGGCGGUAGGAGAAUUGCGUUGGAAUGUGGCACGGCUUUGGUUGUGUGUUAUAGCCUUCGUCGAUACUGCCAGCCUAGACUGACGACUGCGGUUUAUACCUAGGAUGUUGUCCUAGUGGUCUUCUUUCCCCCCUCU
rnacentral:rRNA from 1 species